rnacentral:rRNA from 1 species
GACAGAGGGUGCAAACGUUGUUCGGAAUCACUGGGCGUAAAGCACGUGUAGGCUGCUGCGCAAGUCGGAUGUGAAAUCCCACGGCUCAACCAUGGAAGUGCAUUCGAAACUGCGUAGCUAGAGUUUUGGAGAGGAAGGCGGAAUACUCGGUGUAGAGGUGAAAUUCGUAGAUAUCGAGUGGAACACCGGUGGCGAAGGCGGCCUUCUGGACAAUGACUGACGCUGAAACGCGAAAGCGUGGGGAGCAAACAGG